UACAGAGGGUGCAAGCGUUAAUCGGAAUUACUGGGCGUAAAGCGCACGUAGGUGGCUUGGUAAGUUGGAUGUGAAAUCCCCGGGCUUAACUUGGGAAUUGCAUUCAAGACUGCCUUGCUAGAGUGUGGAAGAGGAAAGCGGAAUUCCAGGUGUAGCGGUGAAAUGCGUAGAUAUCUGGAGGAACAUCAGUGGCGAAGGCGGCUUCCUGGUCCAACACUGACACUGAGGUGCGAAAGCGUGGGGAGCAAACAGG
rnacentral:rRNA from 1 species